GACGAACGCUGGCGGCGUGCUUAACACAUGCAAGUCGAACGGAAGGGCCCUGCUUUUGUGGGGUGCUCGAGUGGCGAACGGGUGAGUAACACGUGAGUAACCUGCCCUUGACUUUGGGAUAACUUCAGGAAACUGGGGCUAAUACCGGAUAGGAGCUCCGGCUGCAUGGUGGGGGUUGGAAAGUUUCGGCGGUUGGGGAUGGACUCGCGGCUUAUCAGCUUGUUGGUGGGGUAGUGGCUUACCAAGGCUUUGACGGGUAGCCGGCCUGAGAGGGUGACCGGCCACAUUGGGACUGAGAUACGGCCCAGACUCCUACGGGAGGCAGCAGUGGGGAAUAUUGCACAAUGGGCGGAAGCCUGAUGCAGCAACGCCGCGUGCGGGAUGACGGCCUUCGGGUUGUAAACCGCUUUCGCCUGUGACGAAGCGUGAGUGACGGUAAUGGGUAAAGAAGCACCGGCUAACUACGUG
rnacentral:rRNA from 1 species